CACGUAGGGUGCGAGCGUUGUCCGGAAUUAUUGGGCGUAAAGAGCUCGUAGGCGGUGUGUCGCGUCGGCCGUGAAAACCUGCAGCUUAACUGUGGGCUUGCGGUCGAUACGGGCAUCACUGGAGUUCGGCAGGGGAGACUGGAAUUCCUGGUGUAGCGGUGAAAUGCGCAGAUAUCAGGAGGAACACCGGUGGCGAAGGCGGGUCUCUGGGCCGGUACUGACGCUGAGGAGCGAAAGCGUGGGGAGCGAACAGG
rnacentral:rRNA from 1 species